rnacentral:rRNA from 1 species
GAGUUUGAUCCUGGCUCAGAUUGAACGCUGGCGGCAGGCCUAACACAUGCAAGUCGAGCGGUAGAGAGGUGCUUGCACCUCUUGAGAGCGGCGGACGGGUGAGUAAUGCCUAGGAAUCUGCCUGGUAGUGGGGGAUAACGCUCGGAAACGGACGCUAAUACCGCAUACGUCCUACGGGAGAAAGCAGGGGACCUUCGGGCCUUGCGCUAUCAGAUGAGCCUAGGUCGGAUUAGCUAGUUGGUGAGGUAAUGGCUCACCAAGGCGACGAUCCGUAACUGGUCUGAGAGGAUGAUCAGUCACACUGGAACUGAGACACGGUCCAGACUCCUACGGGAGGCAGCAGUGGGGAAUAUUGGACAAUGGGCGAAAGCCUGAUCCAGCCAUGCCGCGUGUGUGAAGAAGGUCUUCGGAUUGUAAAGCACUUUAAGUUGGGAGGAAGGGCAGUAAAUUAAUACUUUGCUGUUUUGACGUUACCGACAGAAUAAGCACCGGCUAACUCUGUGCCAGCAGCCGCGGUAAUACAGAGGGUGCAAGCGUUAAUCGGAAUUACUGGGCGUAAAGCGCGCGUAGGUGGUCCGUUAAAUUGGAUGUGAAAUCCCCGGGCUCAACCUGGGAACUGCAUUCAAAACUGUCGAGCUAGAGUAUGGUAGAGGGUGGUGGAAUUUCCUGUGUAGCGGUGAAAUGCGUAGAUAUAGGAAGGAACACCAGUGGCGAAGGCGACCACCUGGACUGAUACUGACACUGAGGUGCGAAAGCGAGGGGAGCAAACAGGAUUAGAUACCUGGUAGUCACGCCGUAAACGAUGUCAACUAGCCGUUGGGAGCCUUGAGCUCUUAGUGGCGCAGCUAACGCAUUAAGUUGACCGCCUGGGGAGUACGGCCGCAAGGUUAAAACUCAAAUGAAUUGACGGGGGCCCGCACAAGCGGUGGAGCAGUGGUUUAAUUCGAAGCGACGCGAAGAACCUUACCAGGCCUUGACAUCCAAUGAACUUUCCAGAGAUGGAUUGGUGCCUUCGGGAACAUUGAGACAGGUGCUGCAUGGCUGUCGUCAGCUCGUGUCGUGAGAUGUUGGGUUAAGUUCCGUAACGAGCGCAACCCUUGUCCUUAGUUACCAGCACGUAAUGGUGGGCACUCUAAGGAGACUGCCGGUGACAAACCGGAGGAAGGUGGGGAUGACGUCAAGUCAUCAUGGCCCUUACGGCCUGGGCUACACACGUGCUACAAUGGUCGGUACAGAGGGUUGCCAAGCCGCGAGGUGGAGCUAAUCCCACAAAACCGAUCGUAGUCCGGAUCGCAGUCUGCAACUCGACUGCGUGAAGUCGGAAUCGCUAGUAAUCGCGAAUCAGAAUGUCGCGGUGAAUACGUUCCCGGGCCUUGUACACACCGCCCGUCACACCAUGGGAGUGGGUUGCACCAGAAGUAGCUAGUCUAACCUUCGGGAGGACGGUUACCACGGUGUGAUUCAUGACUGGGGUGAAGUCGUAACAAGGUAACC